GUUGCCAUACUCCUCCGUAACGGCUUGACCGAUUUUGAUGAAAUUUUUUGUGCUUAUCCGGUAUCUAUGAGAAUCGGCCAACAUCUAUUUUUCAUCCCCCUAAAUGUUAGGGGUAGUCCAUUAUUAAUUAAAAACUAACUUUCCCGCCAAAAAAAUCUUUCAUUUUUCCCAACGCCAACUUUUCCGCCAAAAAAAUCUUCCAUUUUCUCCAUCGCCAAAUAAGUAAGGCAUCAGUUGUUUUUUUCUCCCAACAGUAAUUAGGCUAGGGUUAACAUUUUUCGACGGAUUAUUUCAAACGAUUCUGUUUAUUUUCUUAAUGUUUUAUGCAUUUAAAAUUAAACAUUGUUAAUUAAUCCAUGUUUCACAUUCAUUCUGAAGUACUUUUGAAUUAAAAUAACACAGAAUAAAGGAAAUUAAAAAUGUCUAAUCUGCAUAGCGUUACCCCAACUGGCGUAGAAAAAUUUACGCAUUUGCGUUGACGUAACUGGCGAAGAAAAUCCACGCAUGCGCAUUGUUCUGAUUGUUGGCAUGACAACCAACGGACGAUUUAAAUUAUUUUUAGCGACGAAUUGCAACACCACGUUCAGUCCCUCCCUCGAGGCCAAGGCGGUGGAAAUGCAAGUCCUUGUAGCACACUUCAGCUUCUAGCCAAAGUUCUUCCCAACAUCACUUUAUUUGCGACUUACUUCUCUAUUGACUCAGACGACAUCUGCUAUUAAGUGCGUCAGCUGCCGUGUUGCCGAACACUGGAUGUUAAACUUUGUAGAAUCAGCUUGCGAUUGCAUUCAAUGAUCGUGCGUAUGAAGCUCUUUGCCUAAUGACCAUUCAUAGAGUUCUUAUCAUGUGAUGGCGCUCCACUUUUAAGAGGUCCCGUUAACGUAAGCAGCCGUUUUUAAGUGUCUACUAUUUUGAACGAUAUUGCUUUCCAAAAAUCUUCCCCGAUUUUUGAUCGUUGUCAUGGCAACCAGUACCUCUUGAGGACACCAUACCAUAUGUAUAAUGUUAAAGGAGAGUUGAGGUACAUAGUGCAAGAUCCACCCCACCUAGAGCAAUGCUAUCUAGAAGCCACCUGCAGCAUACCCAGUGACGUAUGCAAGAACUACGGUUACGGAACAGGACGACGGGGAACAGCAGGCUGUGAAUCUCGCCAUUGCCACCACACUCUCCUGGCUUGGGACCCAUCCUCCCCUGACGACGGCACAUUCUUCGAUAUUUUCGAGUACUCUUGCUGCUGCAAUUGUCAUACGCCCAUGCCGCAAUCGACCCGGUCGCAGCUCGUCGGAUGAACUGUGACAGAUAUUAGGAAAUAACUGUUUCAUCUCUAUUAUAUUUAUAUUAUAUAUGUGUGAUAAAUUAUUGUUAUGAAAUGAUUUAUAUAUAUA